rnacentral:piRNA from 1 species
AAAUUAAAGGGACAAAUUUAUUCAGA